rnacentral:rRNA from 1 species
GACGAACGCUGGCGGCGUGCUUAACACAUGCAAGUCGAACGGAAAGGCCCGGUUUUUGUGGGGUGCGCGAGUGCAGAACGGGUGAGUAUCACGUGAGUAACCUGCCCUUGACUUUGGGGUAACUUCAGGAAACUGGGGUUAAUACCGGGUAUGAGCUCCUGCUGCAUGGUGGGGGUGGGAAAGUUUCGGCGGUUGGGGAUGGACUCGCGGCUUAUCAGCUUGUUGGCGGGGUAGUGGCUUACCAAGGCUUUGACGGGUAGCCGGCCUGAGAGGGUGACCGGCCACAUUGGGACUGAGGUACGGCCCAGACUGCUACGGGAGGCAGCAGUGGGGAAUAUUGCACAAUGGGCGGAAGCAUGAUGCAGCAACGCCGCGUGCGGGAUGACGGCCUUCGGGUUGUAAACCGCUUUCGCGUGUGAAGCAGAGUGAGUGACGGUAAUGGGUAAAGAAGCACCGGCUAACUACGUG